AACGAACGCUGGCGGCGUGCCUAACACAUGCAAGUCGAACGAGGUCCAUGUGGUGGCAACACCACGGAAGACCUAGUGGCGAACGGGUGAGUAACACGUGAGGAACCUGCCCCGAAGACCGGGAUAACCCUCCGAAAGGAGAGCUAAUACCGGAUGCCCCCACCGGAUCGCAUGAUCUGGUGAGGAAAUGGAUUCCGCUUCGGGAGGGCCUCGCGGCCUAUCAGCUAGUUGGUGGGGUAACGGCCCACCAACGCAUCGACGGGUAGCUGGUCUGAGACGACGAUCAGCCACAGUGGGGCUGAGACACGGCUCAGACUCCUACGGGGUGCAGCAGUGGGGAAGCUUGCGCAAUGGGCGCAAGCCUGGCGCAGCAACGCCGCGUGGGGGAUGAAGGUUCUCGGGUUGUAAACCCCUUUCAGCAGGGACGAAUCAAGACGGUACCUGCAGAAGAAGCCCCGGCUAACUACGUGCCAGCAGCCGCCGUAAGAC
rnacentral:rRNA from 1 species